GGCGGGAGGAAGGUGGCAGCCUGGGUUCGUGGCACCAGCCCGGCCGUUCGGUCCGACUGUCCUGCCUGCCUAGGACCCCUCACGGAGCGCACGACCCGGCCGGAGCUUCCUGGGCACUCGCGCUGUUCCAAGUCCGAAGCACUCGGGUGGAGGCAACUGAAGGUUGGGGUCUCGUGGAGCCAGAGGCUGGGGGCGUCCGGGGUCCCGUGCACCGGAGUCGAGAGCCUGGGGCCACAAUGCGCUAGCUCCGGAGUAGCGGCUCCGGCUCCGACCCUCACUGAUGGAAAGGCGCGGAGCGACCCUGCAACCACGGACCCGUACUGCUGGGUUAGGAGCGUGCCGCCCCGGCGCAGCGGGUCACGGCCGGGACUCCGCGCGUCCCGGCCGCACGCCCCGGACCGCGGGUCUGGGACGGGCAGGGCAGGGCAGGGCAGGGCAGGCGCCGGCGGGGAGGUGCGGCGGCCGGAGCCCCGCGGGGAAGUCUUUCCAGGUCCCGACUCAGCUCGCUCUGUAAAACAGGGCGGACCUCGGCGCGGCAGCCGACUCCCGAGCUCCCGGCUGCGGCUCCACUUCCUCCUCUUCCCCCGCUCGCUCACCGCUCGCUCAACGCCGCGCCGCUGCCACCUCCGCUGUCAUCCCCGCCGCCCACCCCCACCGGAGCCGCAGCCCGAUCUCAGCCGAGGCAGCGCCGCCCAGCGCCGGAGCGCCAGCCAGCGCGGCCCCGCCCGGACGGGGCGGAGUCAGCAGGGACCCCGCCCCCGGCCGGCAGCGGGCAGGGGCAGGGCGCGCGUCGGCUCCCCUUCGCGGGCCCCGCGCAUGGGGCCGCAGGAGCCAAUCCGAGGGUGGGAGCGGAGCGGCGCCCUGCGGAACGCGGACUCUACCUCGGAGAGGGCGGGGCGGACAAUGAAGAGGUGCGGCUACAAAAGGACAAUGGCGGGGCUGGGAGUUCAGAAAGGGCCGAAUCGGGGAGGGGGUUGGUCUCGGGACCCGGAUGGAGGGAGAGGCGAGAGGGCUGGCUUGUUUGGGACACGGGCAUGGGGACUGCUGUGCGGGGAUUGCGGGGGUCACGGGGAAGCAGCAGGGGCCAGGGUAGGAAAAGAAGCCGGGACGAGGCAAGGUGGAGGCGUGGGGGGAUAUCCGGGGUCAGGGAUCCCAGGGACGCUGGAGCGAACCCUCCUGGGUGGUGGGAUGCCGCCGACAGCUUGCUGCUGCCCAGCUUCUAGUGCUCCGCACUCAGAGAGACAGAGUCUCACAGUGUUUUCUAGGCUGGUCUCGAUCUCCUGUGUUCCAGCGAUCCUCCUGCCUCGGACUCCUAAAGUGCUGAGAUUACAGGUGUGAGCCUGGUGCUUGGCCACGGAGCGGUCUUCAGUGUGUCUGCACAGGGACAGGCGCAGAGAAGGCGUUGGAGGGAAUUGAU
rnacentral:lncRNA from 1 species